rnacentral:lncRNA from 13 species
GGGCAGCAGAGGGCUUCCCUCCCCCAGCCCCGUGAAAAACAGAUGGAUUCUCACCCUGCCACCCAGGCUGGAGCACGAUCUCAGCUCACUGCAACCCAAGCGAUUCUCCUGCCUCAGCCUCCUGAGUAGCUGGGAUUACAGGCAUCCACCACCACACCCAGCUAAUACUGUGGCUGCAACUUUAACAAGGACUUAUCAUCAAGAAUCCUAACAACAGGAAUCCUCAAACCUGAUCCAUGCUUAAGUUGUGGCUGGAGAAAAUCAAGUUCUCUGGAAAGAACAUCCUGG